rnacentral:rRNA from 1 species
AUUGAACGCUGGCGGCAUGCCUUACACAUGCAAGUCGAACGGUAACAGGUCUUCGGAUGCUGACGAGUGGCGAACGGGUGAGUAAUACAUCGGAACGUGCCCGAGAGUGGGGGAUAACGAGGCGAAAGCUUUGCUAAUACCGCAUACGAUCUCAGGAUGAAAGCAGGGGACCGCAAGGCCUUGCGCUCACGGAGCGGCCGAUGGCAGAUUAGGUAGUUGGUAGGAUAAAAGCUUACCAAGCCGACGAUCUGUAGCUGGUCUGAGAGGACGACCAGCCACACUGGGAAUGGGCCCCGGCCCAGACUCCUACGGGGGGACGCAGUGGGGAAUUUUGGACAAUGGGCGCAAGCCUGAUCCAGAAAUGCCGCGUGAAGGAAGAAGGCCUUCGGGUUGUAAACUGCUUUUGUACGGAACGAAACGGCUCUCACUAAUACUGGGGGCUAAUGACGGUACCGUAAGAAUAAGCACCGGCUAACUACGUGCCAGCAGCCGCCGUAACAC